rnacentral:lncRNA from 1 species
CUAGGAAUAUUCAUUUAUUGAACAAGACAAUGUUAAGAAAACACUGUUAGAACCUAUUAUUCAGUGUCAACUUGACUGAAACAUUUUUGGAAAAUAGACAGUACUUUUAAAAAUCAUUUAUAUUCUUUCAUUAUUGAAUAUUACACAAGAAAAUGUGGUCAUUAAGAAAUUUUAAGAGAACUGAGUACUUUUGUUAAUUCCUACAAGCAUUUUUUCCCAAAAAAAUAUUUUGUGGGGACCGGCCCUGCGGCCGAGUGGUUGAGUUCGCACACUCCGCUUCACUGGCCCAGGGUUUUGCUGGUUCAGAUCCUGGGCGUGGACAUGGCACUGCUCAUCAAGCCAUGCUGAGGCAGCAUCCCACAUAACACAACUAGAAGGACCUACAACUAGAAUAUGCAACUACGUACUCUGGGGCUUUGGGGAGGAGCAGAAGAAAAAGAAAAGAUUGGCAACAGAUGUUAGCUCAGGUGCCAAUCUUUAAAAAAAAACAUUUUUGUGGAAUAAAGUAUCCCCUUCUCAGACUCCCUUAGUAUAAAAAUUUAGGUAGAUUCAAUUGUUUUUUUAAAACCUGUAUUUUUAGUGAGAAUACAUAUAUACAUAAAUAAUUCUUCACCCACAUAUACAAAGAAACAUUCACUUGCUCAGGUCUAUUGGUAAUAAGCAGAAAAAGUUAUGAUGUAACGACAUCUUUAUUUUCUUUAUAACAUUUGGCACACUGCUAGGCAUGAGAAUCUCACAUUGAUAAAGUUAUAGAUUGAGUUGUGCCUCCAACAAAAAAUAACGUCAAAAAGAUAUGUAGAAGUCCUAUCUCUGGGUACCUUACAAUUGACCUUAUUUGCAAUAGAGUUAUUUCAGAUAGAAUUAAUUAAGAUUGGGUCAUACUGGAGCAGGGUGGGUCCCUAAUCCAAUGUGAGUGGCAUCCUUGUAAGAUGGCCACAUGAAGACAAACACAGGGAGAAUGCCAUGUGACAAAGACAGACUGGAUUUAUGCACCUAAAAGCCAAGGAAUGUCAGCGACUGCCAACAAACCAUCAGAAGCCAGGAGGAGUCAAGGAAGCAUUCAGAGGGCGCAUGGCCCUACGGACACCUUGAUUUUGGAUUUCCGGCCUCCCGAACUGUGAGACAGUAACUUUGUUGUUUAGGCCACACAGUUCAUGGCACUUUGUUUGGCAGCCAUAAGAAACUAAAAUAGGUGAUAAUACAGCCAGGGUGGAGGCCCUCUAUUUUCAAUGAACCUCUUGCACCAUCCUGUCUUGCCUCUAUUCAUAAAGUUCUUGAGAAGCCACCUGAGAAACAUUUACCAUUCCAAAUUCUUUUAUCUCUUCCAGUAACAAACAUGUAAUCCAUGUCUCUUGCCAUGUAACUUUGCAAGUGCUUCCCAUUAGAGUAGAUGCAAAUGCUCCCUCACCCUACUGACAGGCAUGGCCAUGAAGGUGCUUCAACCUAUGAAAUGAGGGUAGAAGGGACAGUGUGCCAGUUUCAAGUUGAGGCCUUCAGGAAGCCUGGCAAGUUUCCUACAGUCUUCUUGGAGCUUCUGCCAUCCACCAUGAGACAAAAUGUCUCAGGUAGCGACUGAGCCUAGAAUAAAAAUACACAUGAAACAUACCUGAAUCCAAAUUAUUGUCUAUACCAAG